UACGUAGGGGGCAAGCGUUGUCCGGGAUGAUUGGGCGUAAAGCGUCCGCAGGUGGCUGUGUAAGUCUGCUGUUAAAUAGUGAGGCUCAACCUCAUAAAGGCAGUGGAAACUACACGGCUAGAGUGCGUUCGGGGCAGAGGGAAUUCCUGGUGUAGCGGUGAAAUGCGUAGAGAUCAGGAAGAACACCGGUGGCGAAAGCGCUCUGCUAGGCCGCAACUGACACUGAGGGACGAAAGCUAGGGGAGCGAAUGGG
rnacentral:rRNA from 1 species